rnacentral:rRNA from 1 species
CCUACGGGAGGCAGCAGUGGGGAAUAUUGCACAAUGGGCGCAAGCCUGAUGCAGCGACGCCGCGUGCGGGAUGGAGGCCUUCGGGUUGUAAACCGCUUUUGAUCGGGAGCAAGCCUUCGGGUGAGUGUACCUUUCGAAUAAGCACCGGCUAACUACGUGCCAGCAGCCGCGGUAAUACGUAGGGUGCAAGCGUUAUCCGGAAUUAUUGGGCGUAAAGGGCUCGUAGGCGGUUCGUCGCGUCCGGUGUGAAAGUCCAUCGCUUAACGGUGGAUCUGCGCCGGGUACGGGCGGGCUGGAGUGCGGUAGGGGAGACUGGAAUUCCCGGUGUAACGGUGGAAUGUGUAGAUAUCGGGAAGAACACCAAUGGCGAAGGCAGGUCUCUGGGCCGUUACUGACGCUGAGGAGCGAAAGCGUGGGGAGCGAACAGGAUUAGAUACCCUGGUAGUCCACGCCGUAAACGGUGGAUGCUGGAUGUGGGGCCCGUUCCACGGGUUCCGUGUCGGAGCUAACGCGUUAAGCAUCCCGCCUGGGGAGUACGGCCGCAAGGCUAAAACUCAAAGAAAUUGACGGGGGCCCGCACAAGCGGCGGAGCAUGCGGAUUAAUUCGAUGCAACGCGAAGAACCUUACCUGGGCUUGACAUGUUCCCGACGGCGCCAGAGAUGGCGUUUCCCUUCGGGGCGGGUUCACAGGUGGUGCAUGGUCGUCGUCAGCUCGUGUCGUGAGAUGUUGGGUUAAGUCCCGCAACGAGCGCAACCCUCGCCCCGUGUUGCCAGCAGAUUAUGCCGGGAACUCACGGGGGACCGCCGGGGUUAACUCGGAGGAAGGUGGGGAUGACGUCAGAUCAUCAUGCCCCUUACGUCCAGGGCUUCACGCAUGCUACAAUGGCCGGUACAGCGGGAUGCGACAUGGCGACAUGGAGCGGAUCCCUGAAAACCGGUCUCAGUUCGGAUUGGAGUCUGCAACCCGACUCCAUGAAGGCGGAGUCGCUAGUAAUCGCGGAUCAGCAACGCCGCGGUGAAUGCGUUCCCGGGCCUUGUACACACCGCCCGUCAAGUCAUGAAAGUGGGCAGCACCCGAAGCCGGUGGCCUAACCCCUUGUGGGAUGGAGCCGUCUAAGGUGAGGCUCGUGAUUGGGACUAAGUCGUAACAAGGUAGCCGUACCGGAAGGUGCGGCUG